CCUACGGGUGGCAGCAGUGAGGAAUAUUGGUCAAUGGACGAGAGUCUGAACCAGCCAAGUAGCGUGAAGGAUGACUGCCCUAUGGGUUGUAAACUUCUUUUAUAUGGGAAUAAAAUGUUCCACGUGUGGGAUUUUGUAUGUACCAUAUGACUAAGUAUCGGCUAACUCCGGGCCAGCAGCCGCGGUAAUACGGAGGAUGCGAGCGUUAUCCGGAUUUAUUGGGUUUAAAGGGUGCGUAGGCGGUCCGUUAAGUCAGAGGUAAAAUUUCGGGGCUCAACCCCGUCGAGCCGUUGAAACUGGCAGACUUGAGUGGGCGAGAGGUACGCGGAAUGCGUGGGGUAGCGGUGAAAUGCAUAGAUAUCGCGAAGAACUCCGAUUGCGAAGGCAGCGUACCGGAGCCAGACUGACGCUGAGGCACGAAAGCGUGGGGAUCGAACAGGAUUAGAUACCCUGGUAGUC
rnacentral:rRNA from 1 species